CAAACUCGUUCAAGCUCAUCUUAGUGGUUUGAGCACAGAGCGGUGCUCCCGGCUCACAUAAAUCCGUUAAGUGUCCAGGAGGCAAACAGUAAAUAGACAAAUUACGCUGAGGAGGAGGAAGGGCAAGAUCACAAUCAACAGCAAUCUCAGCUGCAGGUUUGGUAUUUCCCACCGACUCUGAGAGAAAAAGGACCAUCUGUAGUUGUUGUGUUUCCUCAGCAAUCGUUCUUCUGAAACCGAUUCAGCUGUGCACAGGAAAACAAGUAUUAGAAGGAAACAAAUGAAAAUAGCAAAAGAGCUUAACUAAUUCGGCUUGGACAUUUCUUUGGGUUACUUGGCACUUAGAAAUUGUUUAAGUAGAAUUAAAGGAUCUUACAUUUUACAAGGAUGGCACAAUUUAAAAUGUGAACGUAUGAGGAAGCAGGAGUAAAAAGACUAGAGAUCUCUUAUGGUCUUCAAUCAGAUUGUGAGUGGAGGAGAAUUCAACAACUCCUGAAUCAGCCAAGAAGGAAUGACAGGGGCCGGCUGCUUAUUUGGUUUAGUUUUCUACCUUUACUUCCUGUUUGAUGGUCAAUGAAGAGCCCAAUCAUUGUUGAAGUCCGUGUCUCCCUGCUCCUUACGAGCCGGGUUGUAACAGGUCCACAUCAGAGUUAGAUUAAAGUGCCCCAAACAGGGUUGGUGUGAACGCACCCUCAGUCUUAAGCCACUUUGAGGACAUCUCAAACAUGCAGGAAGUAGGGGCUUUUUGACAAGUGGAACAGGAAAUGCAGCAUUGUUAGAACGUGGUUCUACCCGCGUCUAAUCGUAUUCUUUUUGGGUUGUUGUCAGCUGACAUCAAGAUUUAAAAAAUGCCACCGAGAGGGAAAUGAAAUCAUUCACGAUCUUGUCAAAAUGUCGUAAAAAACAUGUUAAAUUCUUCUAUAUUCCGUAAACUUCAUUCAACAAUGACAUCAUCCACUUUUCAGACACGUCUUGAGGAAGUGCUCGCAGCUCUUUGUGCGUCUCGUCAUCCUUCACCGUCGUGGCCCAGAAACUCAUUCGGUACGUCUCAGUGCUUAUCUCAAAUCUUUCAAUAACCGCAGUUUUUACUUUGUCGUACUCCAUCGUCUCUUCGGUGUCCACGGCUACGUAACCAGCUCAGCGGUGCCACACACUCAAAACACCAUUUGGUAUAACCCAGUGAUGCAAUCAGUGACAUCAUACACUGAUGCCAGCCCAGGAAACGCUGGGCUGGCCCCUCCUAUACAGAUGAUCAGGCAUCAGCAUCUCAAGGGACAAAACCAUGCUUAUCAGGCGCAACAAACGUUCCUGGCAGAACCCCAACGCCAGGAAUCUCUCUGAAUGUUUGGCGGUCCGAUUUUCCAGAUUUUGCAACUCAAGCGACGGACACGCUGGACACGGCGUCGAACGCUCAAAAUGAUCAAAUCCACAGUUGUCAGACAGAGCAGAAGCCAAAGGAGACCCGGCGUAGGAGCCACUGGCCGGUAGAGACUCUGAAAUGAAAAUCCUGGCACCAAAGCAUUAAAAGAACUCAUGGAAAACAAACAUAUUGUGAUUAAACCAACAGAUAAAGUUCUACUGUAACUAGAAAGUGUGCAUUUCCUCCAAAAAUGUAAGUGUGAAUGCUGAAUGCUUUUUGUUGAAGAUGCCAAAACGUUUGAAGUCGACUGCUGAAGACGUCCAGAAAUGCAAGAAAUAGGCAGACGCACCAGAACAAAUUAUAAUCCUGCAAAGUGCCUGAAUGGGAUUAUUGUAACAGAAAAGCUGUUGAAGAGGAGUAAAAGCUUUUGAAUAAUGGAAAAAUUCCACCCAAACAAUAUUAGAAAUUGCUGGAUAACAGUGGUUCCUAACCUAAACCGUAGGGCCUCCGCAGUUUAUAAGGUAAAAUUAUAUGAAAGGCUAAAAGUAGCUGGAAUGCUAAUGGUUGCAUCCAGGCUUCCACUUGCAUGUUGCGUUACAGUAAUAUAUUUUAUGCAAUGUAAAAAAAACUCUUGUAAAAAGACAGAAACUUUUCCCUCUUCCUUCUGAUAAAAACGGCGGGUGAAUGAAAUCCAAGAUAUCAACAUUUGUUUGGAGGCAUCGUUUAGUGACCACAAAAAACAUGCAGCACGAAAAAAACCAAUGUCAAAAGCUCAAAUCAUUCCCAGGUACUAAACAGCACAAAAGCUGUUUAACUGCCCCAUUUCAAAAUGGCCGCUGCCCUGUGUCCUCCAUGACAGCCCUGAAACUGGAUGAUUGAUUGACAUUAACAGGCAGGGCCUGAAACAUCCACUGUGAAACACAACAGACAUUUGAUAUUGUUAUUCUCACUUCUGUCUCUGAUAGUAGCAGUGAAAUACAUCAGACAGCAGAAUUUAUUGAUUAUCUCCAUGACAUAGCAGUUAUAUUAAAGAUACAUAUGAUUUUGUAGAUAAAAUUAAAUCUUA